CGUUGAGCUAACCCGUACUAAUUGCCCGUGAGACUUAACCAUACAACACCCAAGGUGUUUGGGACGUUACGCACAAGCGAGCGACUUUACCGAAUUAGAGCAAAUAGAGUGGCGUUAUUAAGACGACAGUCAGUUUUUACAUGUUGUGACAGUUUAUGUCUGGCGGCCAUAGCGGUGUGGCACCACCUGAAUCCAUUCCGAACUCAGAAGUGAAACACACCAGCGCCGAUGGUAGUGUGGGGUCUCCCCAUGCGAGAGUAGGUCACCGCCAGAC
rnacentral:rRNA from 1 species